GGCUAACUACGGGACAGCGGUGGGGGGAGGAGGGGGGGGGCGAGCGUGUGCCGGAUGUAUUGGGCGUAAAGAGCGGGUAGGCGGGCAGGUAGGUCUGCGGGGAAAACUCGAGGCUCAACCUCGAGACGCCGGCGGAAACCAUCUGGCUAGAGUCCGGAAGAGGAGAGUGGAAUUCCUGGUGUAGCGGUGAAAUGCGCAGAUAUCAGGAAGAACACCCGUGGCGAAGGCGGCUCUCUGGGACGGUACUGACGCUGAGACGCGAAAGCGUGGGGAGCGAACAGGAUUAGAUACCCUAGUAUC
rnacentral:rRNA from 1 species